AAGACAUGCAAGUCGAACGGGAUCAGAUUCGUAGCAAUACGCAUCUGGUUCAGUGGCGCACGGGUGCGUAACACGUGAGCAAUCUGCCGGGAAGUGGGGGAUAGCUCGCCGAAAGGCGAAUUAAUACCGCAUGUGGCUAGGGAUGACAUCCUUCCGAAGCCAAAGCAGCAAUGCGCUUCCCGAUGAGCUCGCGGCCUAUCAGCUAGAUGGCGGGGUAACGGCCCACCAUGGCUAUGACGGGUAGCUGGUCUGAGGACGACCAGCCACACUGGAACUGAGACACGGUCCAGACACCUACGGGUGGCAGCAGUCGAGAAUUUUUCACAAUGGGGGAAACCCUGAUGGAGCGACGCCGCGUGGAGGACGAAGGCCCUCGGGUUGUAAACUCCUGACAUGCGGGAACAAGAAAGUGAUAGUACCGCAAGAGGAAGAGACGGCUAACUCUGUGCCAGCAGCCGCGGUAAUACAGAGGUCUCAAGCGUUGUUCGGAUUCAUUGGGCGUAAA
rnacentral:rRNA from 1 species